rnacentral:rRNA from 1 species
UACGGUUACCUUGGUACGACUUCACCCCAGUCAUAAGCCACACCGUGGUAAGCGUCCUCCCGAAGGUUAGACUACCUACUUCUGGGGCAACCUACUUCCAUGGUGUGACUGGCGGUGUGUACAAGACCCGGGAACGUAUUCACCGCGUCAAUGUUGAUUCUCGAUUACUAACAAUUCCGAAUUCUUGGAAUCAAAUUUUCAAAAUCCUUUCCCGAUUACGACCUGUUUUCUGGGAUUGGUACCUCCUUGGGGCUUCUGUACCCUUUGUAUUGGACAUUGUUGCCCGUGUGUAGCCCUGCCUAUAAGGUCCAUGAUUAUUUGACUUCUUCCCCCUCUUUUUCAGGAUUAUUAUCUACGGUCUCCCUUUAAAUGUCCACCAACAUGCUUGGCUCAUACUGACAAGGAUUGUCUUUUUUUUUGCAUUUAUUAUUUUUCCCCUUACCUUCGUUCUCAUUAUUUUCAUCCUUUUAUUUGUUUUCCUUUGCCCCACUCCACUCUUCCCUUAUUUCUUUAUCCCUUUUUUUUUUACCUUAUUUAUUUCCCCACCGUUCCUUCUCGUUUUUUUUUUCCUCCCUUUUUUUUUUCCUAGUACUUCCCGCUUAGGUUUCGCUCUUUAUUUCUAACCUUUCCCUAUCUUUUCCCCCCCUUUUUUUCUUUGUCUUUAUCUCUUUAUUUUUUACCCUUAUAUCCA